UGGCUGAGUGGUAAAGCGCUUGACUUCCAAACCGGGAGUUCCGGGUUUGAAUCCUGG
rfam:Biomphalaria glabrata isolate BB02 unplaced genomic scaffold LGTN_random_Scaffold484, whole genome shotgun sequence.